GCACUAAUAGCUUAGAAAUAAAGCAUCGGUCUUGUAAUCCGAAGACCGGGGGUUUAAAUCCCCCUUAGUGCC
rnacentral:tRNA from 1 species